GCUCCGGAAGCCAUGGUGAAAGGGGCCAGCAACUGGGAAAUGGCACACAUUUAUCACCAGCAGCUCUGAAGAUUUAGGCCCACAGUUAAGGCCUACCAGGAUUCCUACAAUGAGACCUGAAAACCCUUGGAAGCUUGGCUUGUGCAUGUAGCUGUCAACAAGAGGCUCUGCUUCAAAUAAGGUGGAAGAAAAACAAAUCACCCCCAAGCAAACAAACAAAGAGAUGUAUGAAGACGGAAGGUAUGGCAUUGCCUGCCAAAGGAAGCUCCGAGGUGGGUCCUUUCCCCAUGCCUGACCUGUUGCCUUGUUGCCUCUGGGAAGGAGAGAUGGAGGUGGGCUUGGUGUG